GCCAGCGCCGGCGGGACCCGAGCUGCUAAUGCCUCCAAUCAACAGAUCAGACAGCUUGUACUCACAGGCCAAGGACACGUGGAAAGAGGCUCAAUUUUCUAGAUGGGUGGCAACAGCCAUGAUCUUCUGUCCUCUGGGUCCCCACAAGCCUGGAUGAACUCAAGAUCUGACUCAGUGGCACAGUGAGGAGACCUUUGAGGCCUCAGUGACCAUCCUUGGACUUCACCUCUCACGGCUUUCAGGCAGAGAGGCCCUCCCAUGCCCACAACAGGCUGAGCCCAGCCUUCCUCGGGGUUUGCUUCCAGGCCUGACUUUUACUCCCCUUUCUAAGUGAUGGGAUGUGCUUCUCCACAGGAGGCCCCACGGCUUCCCCACCCCUCAGAGGAGCGCCGUGCGUGCGUCUGUGUGGAGGAUUGGCAGCUCCUGCAGUCGGCCCUUGGUCCUAUUUGGCGACGCCUCUGCCUUCCCCUUAAUUAUACAGUCAUGAGCCGCCCUGGAAUCACGGCAGCUCCGGAUGGAUCCUGGAUGCCAGAAUGCAGCCUCAGCACGGGGCUGCAGGACAGGAGUGAGCGAGGGGCUGCAGAGCCGGCGGCCGCGGUGGGCACCAUGGAGGGGGCUGCCCUGGGCAGCACGGGCAUGAGUCUCAAGGCCCAGGUUUGAGUAACAGGUGUUGAGAGCUUACUUACUUUUCCUGAGACACAGUUUCCUCAUCUCGAGAGCACGGAAAAUCAUUCUAACUUCAGAGGAUUGUUGUGAAAGUUAAAUGAGAUUAAAGAGGUAAAGCCCAUGACGUGCUUAGCUCGUGCUUGGCUCUUGGUCAAUGCCAGUUAGCGCUGCAUUUUCUCCCCUCUCCCUCCCUCCUUCUCUCUUUCUUUUCUUCUAUUCUCCAUUCCUGUUUUCUCCCCCACCCCACUCCCCAAAGCUCUGCGUUGAGAACCAGAUGCUGUCUGGUGGGUUAGGGCCAGAGGAGGAAAAGCUGCCCGCCGUGGGCUGCACCCAUACCCUCUUCAUUCCAAUGACAUGAGGGGAGGGGAAAGGACAGAGGUAGACUGUCCUCCCCUACCUCCUCCUAAUACAAAUGGAAUUCCUGGAACUGGAAAACAAAGAAUACCCCCAUAAAAAUAAGACAGUACUUCUGGUGCGGUGUAAUAAAGGGGAAAGUAACCCUCAAUGUCAGGAAACUCCGCACCUCCCAGCUCAUAUUUGUGUGGAGGAAAAGUUAAAUAUUAAUUUGGACUCAACUGAAUGUGGACACAAACAAUGGUCACCAAGUCCCGGAACAGGUUGUGUGAGCCUCUUCAGGGGUUCAUCCAGCGCUGUUUUGGAGAAAUCUCUAUUUCAAUUUAUUCCUAUACGUUAGUUACUGAAAAACAACAGACAAUCGCAAAAGCAAGUUGCCCGUUUUGUGUUCCUUGAGCCCAAUCAUGAAGUGCCGUCGUGACUGGGCCUCAUGACAAACAACUUGUAACAAGUAACAACAGAGCUCAGGUCCCAGACCGCACUGAAGCUCUGUGAGACCUCUCCUCAUCUGUGCAUGAACGAGUGUCUGACUCUGGAGCCCAGCCUGCUGCUUCCCAGUCUGGUGGUGAAUCCUCCGUAGUCUGAUGGAGGUUUGCUCUUGUUGCCCAGGCUGGAGUGCAAUGGCACAAUCUCGGCUCACUGCAGCCCCUGCCUCCCAGGCUCAAGCAAUUCUUACGCCUCAGCCUCCUGAGUAGAUGGAACUACAGAUGCUAAAAUUGACACCAAAAGCGUAGGUGAUGAGCUUGAAUCAGGUAAGAAUUAUAUUCUACUUCCAGCUAAAGAAGAGGAUAUAGAAGAUCAAUAGCUUAAACAAAACAGAAGGUUUGUUUCUCACCCUUCCUGUAAUAGAAAUCUGGCAAUGAGCAAACAUGGUAGUAUUUAUAUUCUGAGUUCUUGUCACAUUAUUUUCAUUUUCAGGUCUUCUCAUGGACUAAAACAGUGACAGUGAGUGCAACUCUACCUAUCAUGUUCAUAUUCUAGGUAGAAACUGGGGAAAAGAGAAAAGGCGGGAAAAAGGCGUUUCUCUACAAAGAUCACACAUAAUCUUCUGUCUGCAUCUCAUUGGUCGGCAUUUAGUCACAUGGCCAUAACUACCAGCAAGGGAAGCUGGGAAAUGUAGUUUUUCAAUGGCACAUUGCUACCCUUAAUAAAAUAAGGAUAUGCUACCAACAAAGAAUGAAUAUGGGAAAGGCCCCUAGCAAUGUCUGCUGCAUCUGCCACUGUGGUUUUCUCUGAUUUCCACAGACAUUGCUCUUCCACAUAGAGCGCAUUCUGAUUCCCAAGCCACCACUCCCAAAUCACACCCAGUUUCUGCAUCUAGCUUGUGUGUGGGCAGUCUGCUCCAUCAGUCCCAGAUGUGGCUUCUCAUGGCUGGUGACCUAUGAACUAAAAGACAGGCCAUUUUUUUCCCAACCUACCCUACCUUUUCUCCUUGAGAGGAAAGAUAAAAUAACCACAAUUUAAAAAUGUCAAUCUUCCAUUCAGAAAAGGGAGGAAAGAGAAACACAGAGAUCACUGGUUUACAGUGAUGGACCCACCCUGCUAGGCAGGAGUGAAAAGGCCUCUCCGUCCGGCAGUGGACUGGGUUCCUUGGCUGGCCCAUGUGGUCCCCACCCACUGUCUCCAGGAGCAUCGCCUUGAACUGUGUCUUCAUGGCUUUUGGCUCCGCCUUCAGAAGGGUCCUCCCUGUCAAUCAUCCUCCAUUGCCACCUCUGAUGUGGGCACUAGGGAGCUGGUCCUUCCCAGAGGAUGCAUGAUUUUGACACCGUGCAGUGUGGGAUGUUGGACCAGGGAAUCCAGCAUAUUUUCGGGCUUUUGUAGUCUCAGACUGGGCCUGAGAUUUCUUUAGAAAUAUAUUAACGGUUCCUUCAACACUCCAAUGGGCAUAUAGCCUAUUUACUUCUGAUCAUUGUAAUGUGCAAAUAACCACAGCCCCAUUUCUUUGUGUCCAGAUGCAGUUUUUAGGCUUGAAUAUUCAUCUGUUUUACUCACUGGCCUCUGUCACUGAGUCUGUCCCCUUAGCUAUUAAAUUAAUGGUGACUAUGAUAACACUUUUCACCCGAUCCUUGCUAGUGCAUUGACUUGCGUUGUCUGCAUCGAGUUCUUAAAAGAUGCUUGGUAAAGUCUUGGGUCACAGUUUUAACUUCUGCUGGGGUUCCUGCUCCACAGCCCUCAUUUAGAACUGUUUCACUUUGGCUAUUGUUUAGCUUUGGGCCAUAUUUGGCUGUUUUUUAGCUUUGUAAAAAUGCUCAUUUAACGGACACAAGGCCUGGGUUAGAAAAUGUAGUAUUUCCUUCCCCCUCUGUUUGCGUAGGAGCUAGCGCUAGUGGAAGCCCAUCUCUCCCUUGCAGGAUUUUGUGGAAAGUGACGAAAAUAACUCAAACCACAUCAGUGUUCUGCUUGAUUUCCACCAUUCUUGGAUGCUAUAACUUCAGAAAGCACAUGAUCUAACUUCCCAAGGGACAGCAGGGCCUCGACCAAAUGCCGUUGUGCUGAGGGCUGCCGGCCGCCCCGCUAGGCUGCUGCACCCUCCCCGCGCUGCCCCACACCUUGCACAGAGCUCAGGCAGCAUUCUAGCACCAUCAGACAAAUUCUUCAUGAGUCAGAAAUCGCACCUGUCUCUUAAUAGCGAUCUGGCCUCAGGUGGCUGAAACACACAGGGUUGAAAUGCUGCGGUGCCUGCGCUCAUUGUGCGGUGAAGCCAUAGAGUCCGCGCUGAAACCCGGGGCGCCCGCCUCCUGUCCGCGCAGGCGCUGCACGCUGUCGCCGGGGCAGCUUCACUCAGCUUCAGCCUCUCCAUCUGCAGAGGAGGAGUAAUCCCGUGCUGCCUCAUGGGGCCGUUUCAAGAAGGAAAUGAGAUGUGGUAUAAAGUGUUAGAGGAGUAUUUAGUGUUAUUAUUAAUGUGUUUUCUCAUCUGGGAACAUGAUUUGCAUUUUAAGCAGAACUUCAACAUUUGGACUCAAAGGAGUGAUGUGGAUGGGGAGAAUUUCAGGCAUCGUGCAGGCUGGCAUUAGAAAUGCUCACCGGAAAUGGAGCACAGGCAGCAACUUCAGCCCCUAGAAUUCUUCCUCCUAUGUCACUUCCGUCCCUCAAACCCUUUCUGCAGCCCCUGUCCUCUCUCCUGCAAUGGCAGUGAGCAGGUGGUCUCCUGGUGUCUCUGGAAAAUUCCCAUAUGGAGUCCUGGUUGAGAUGAGCCAGAAGGCUAGGAAGGAGCCUACAGUCCCGGUCUCAGCGCCCAGGAGGUUUUUCUAAUGGAGUUGGCAUGCAGAAGCUGGGGCAUACCCUGGGAGCAGCCCUGUGGCUGGAUGAGGGAUGGACAGCAGCACUGGGCGGGUGGAGCCGGGUGCGAGGUCCCCACAGCCUGCCUCCCAGUCCCACUGGCCAGCCCGGGGAGGGUGCUGAAGACAGGCUUCCUCUCUGGUCAAGCUCUGGCUAGCUUGGCAAGUGCAGGCAGGACCCUGGACCUGCCAUAUGGUGCACAUUUUGAGGACAUCAUUAGCAGGUUUGGAAGGUUGUGAUUCUGGUUGUGGGAGAGAAGGAACCUGGGAGUUGAGCAGGUGGUGGGUGGAGCUAUGCAUGCAACUGAGUGUGAGGAGUGCUUUGGCCAUGCUAGGGUCUCCUCUGGGCUGGAAGCCUUGUCUUCAAGAGGGUUGGGGUAGGAGGCUUUUUAUUAUAGUGGGAAGCCUCAAGCCUGGACCUGGGAAAACACUUUCUGGGUAUGAGGAAUUAAAAUAAACCUUGAAGCACUAUUUAGGAAGAACAUAGUAUCACUUCAUAGAUAUUUUCCCCCCUAAAUGGUUACAAAGUAAAAUGGCAGAGGUACAAAGAGGAAAAUGAAAACCACCCAAUCCCUUCCCUGAGCGAUGGCCCUGUUAUCCUUGGGCUCUGUGGCCAUCUGACCUCUCUCUGGGGACAGAAGUACAUGAGGAGAGGGGCCACUUCAUAAGACGGAGAUGCUCUCUUCCUGUUCCCUGCCUCUGCAUCGUGCUGGGGAUGUCUGUCCUCAUCAACUAAGAGACCCAUGUAGACCGCAGCUCUGAGAUCUUCUAUUUUUGUAAACAGAACAGUUUGUAGGGAGAUGUGAGAUGUUAGGUGGUGCUGGAGAGCCUGGGCUUUGUCUGUUUGGACAAGGCUCCAUCAAGGCAUCCUUUGUCCGACGGUGAGGCAUCUUGAGGGCUCUGGACCCAGAGCUGGUCCUGCAAGAGUCCUGUCUGAGAGCCCAGGCCCCACUCCACUAGGAGGGACAGGAGGGAACAGAGCAGAGCUGAGUCCCUUCACCUACCCAAACCCAUACAUGUUUCUAGAGCAGAGUAACUGCUUGUGAAACAGACCAUCAGAGCACAGGGCAGCACCGAGCUGCGUUCUGCAGGGCUCGGUCUAGGUGAUCUGGAGGGCUUGGGGAGCUGGCUUCUCCCCUCAUCCAGCAUGUAGCUACCCACAGCCACCUGCAUUUCACAGGGCCAGUGCCUAGGGACAUUGGGCCAGAAGCCAGAAUUUCUUUUUUCUUUUUUUUUUUCCCCUCUAGCAUUCACUACUAGCGCAAGCUAGUGCAUCCCAAAGUUUUGGCCCUGCGUGGAUAAUCAAUCCACAAUUUAUCUUCCGUCUGUUGCCAAAGUAAUUUAGCUAAAAUGCAGAUCUCAACUGGUCACUUCCCUGCGUAAAAGCUUCAAUAGCUUUCUAUCGCCUACAGGCAAAAGUCCCUCUUCUGAAAAGCGGCUUGCAAAGCCCUAGUAGCUGGCUCCAUGCCCCCCAGCAAUACGUGGCCUCCUCAGACGCAUCUUCUAGCAAAGGAGAGCUGCUCAGUGACAUCCACAAACCGAGCUGCUUCUCACCUACCUGUUUUCCUUCUCUUUGGGAUGCCCCCCGCCCUCACCUUCUGCUUCUGGCUAACUCCUAGGCAUCCUUGAAGGCUUGGCUCAGUAUCCUCUCCUCCAGGAAGCUGUCCCUCACCUUCUCUCCUUUCCCUCCAUCCCAGUCACCAUGCACCACACCCAUAUCCCCAUUGCAUCCUGCAGCUACCUUGUGCCUGCACACGUUGGGCUGGGCAUGCAUCUCCUUCUCUCUCAAGACCUGGAUCCCUUCACUUUGUGUCUCUGGACCCCCCAGUGUGCUGAUAAUGGGGUUGGAACCCAUCAUAUUUCUCUUGAACGAGUUAAUGAUGGGACUGCUAUUUCUCUAACUGUUGCCUUGGAGGCCCUGUCACGUGCUCAUGGAAGAGAGCCAGGGGGGUGGAGGUGAUUCUUGUUACCCAGAGGACGUGGGGUCUGGAUACACGUUUCUGCCAUCUGCCAUCUGCCAGCUUCUUUCUGGUUGGUAGCUUUGGAGCCUGGUGCAGCUGGGGCCAGUCCCGAGCCUGGACUCUGCUGGGCAGUGGCAAGAGCACUGUCUGGAGCUCUCCUGAGGAGCCCACAGAUCCAACUCCCUAGGCCAAGGCUGCAGCCUGGGGCAGAGAUGCAGAGGCCUGGAGGAGCCUAGGGCACGCGGCCUGCGGGCUGGCUGGGGUUCAGAGUUCGUAUGUGUGUGGAGUGACUGGGCAGGUGUUCAGAAAUGAAGGCUGGCACUGCCAGGUAAGGCCCUUCCCUCCCUGAUGUGAGAGCCCUGGAGCCACCGCAGAGGCCCAGUCAGAUCUCUGUUCUAAUUCUGGCCUGGUGUGGAGGAUGAGGAGAGACGGCCCAGAAAGGAAGGCAGACUGUGCAGACCCCAUGUCUUCUGGCCCGCGAGGCCCUCCUCCUGUGCCUGCUUAUCUUAAAGAAUCCGGGAUAAGAGGUGACUUGGGCCUUGGCCGGGAGGCCCCUCCUCAGCUUCAGACAAGGAGGGAGCUCUGGGCAUGAGGACAUUGAGCAAGAGGCGAUGGCAGUGCCCACAACUUACCCUCAGCUCGGCUCUGUUGGGUCCGAGAAGUUGCAUGGAAAGGGCUCCUUGGGGGCCAGUUGUCAGUAAGCUGCAGAAGCCUGGAGCCGGCCAGGAAAUAACCACGUGUAGGAGCCUUCUCAGCUGAGAGGAAGGAGGACUCACGCGCGGCGAGCACAUGCUUGGAGCCAGGCACAGGUUUGAACUAAGCUAUUUCAUCUCGAUUCUUAUGACAAGCUCCACGUAGUUUGCUCCUAUUUUACAGAUGUGGAAGCUGAGGCUCAGAGAGGUUAAGCGACUUGUCCCAAAUCGCAUUGUCAAUCAGUGAAGGGGCUGGGAUUUGAGCUAGUCACCUGCCUCUAGGUUCAGUGUGCUUUCUACUCUGCUCCCCUCCAUGCCUGCCCGACCCUUUGCUGAUGACACAUUCCUGAGACCUCAAAGGAGUCCUACUUUGAAUCAUGAAUGGCCUCGCGUUUCCCCAGAGGGCAUGACGCAAGCUUCGCCACCUCACUCCCACCCUCACCACUGGCUGGUUGCUCUUAGGAAGAUGCUGUUUACAGGAUCACGCAGUGGUUCAGGCCACCACGAUGCCACUUCCCCUGCUCUUAACCCCCCACCAAACUGCAGGUGGCUUCCCUGGGAGACUCGGGGCAACACCCUCUCGUCCUGUAUGAAGCUUGUACCUUUCUCCACCCAAGUGAGUGACAGCUGGCGGGAGUUUUGCACUGUGGAACAGGGUACACAAAGACACUGGAGUGAGAAGGCAGGGGCAUGGCCAGUCUAUGUCUAGGAGGUGGUGGCUCCACCUUCCUUGUGGACUCAGCUUUGGAGUCAUGCAGGCUGCUCUCUGGGCACUCCUGUGAGCCAUUUCUUCUGCUGAUAGGGAGGAACGUCCCACUGCCCCAAGAUGGGUUCUGUGCAGAGUCUCCCCAGGGUCAAGACAGGAGCUAGAAUGUAUGUCAUAGAAGGAUGAUCUAAAUGGUGACUUCUGGCUGGUGAGGAGAGGCUAUGGCACCUCCACGGCUGGUGGCCUCUUGCUGAAGUAAGCAUGGUCAGCAUCCCCCCUGCACCCUGUGGAGGUGGCUUAAUGCAUUCCCUUGACUGCAAAGGACUCCUUGCCAAAGAGACCUUCUUCCCCAUGAGGCUGAGGCCUCCUAGGACCCUCAGUGCUCAGGAAAUUAUAACCAGCCACCCCCAUCUCCAUUCAUUGGAGAAGGAGUGACGGCCGCCUCAGUGCCAUUAACUCUGUGCUGUGAUUAAAUGGAUCCCAAGGAGACUCCUGCUCAGGGACACCCCCUGUAGGACUGAUGCCAGGGCUAGGCUUGCCGCACAGUGCUCUAUUCCUUUGGUUAUGCACCUUCCUUGGCAGAAUCCACGCUUACCAAGAGGAGUCACUCUGAGCUGCUUGCUGCCAGUCACAUGCUUAGCAGUAGAAGAUAUCUUGUGCUUGUCAGGUGACUGUGAGUGAGAGGGAAGGGGGCCCAGCGUGAAGCCAGGUGGGACGGCUUCUGCGGGGCAAGACACCCCACUGGAGGAGGCAGGGGCGCGCUGUGCAGGCCUCAGCACCAGCUCUGGCUGCUGUGGUGGGAUCUCAGAUCAGUCACUUUGCCUUUUUGGCCUCAGUUUUCUCAUCUGUACAUCAUGGAUUUGGGAUUAAAGGAUUUCUGAAGAUUUUACUCAUUCUGAGAUUAUGGUCCCUGGAAACCUUUAGGGAAAAGGGAGCUUCUUCUCUUCAUUAUUUUAACAUACUUGAUCUUUUAUGUUCUUUGGUAGGGAGAGAUGAUAGGUAGUUAGAGAAGAAGCAGCUCAGUGAAAAAGCUGAAAGCCUUGUGGAAAAAUAAGUUAAAUUGACCCACUGUGACUCCAGGGACCUGGGGAGACUUUGAUGUCCGUGUUUUUGAUUACACAUCUCUUCUCUCAGAGUGAAGAUGCGCAGUUCUAAGGAAUUAUGCCCAAUGGCAGAAUUGGCAAGGGACAGGGAACUGUCCAGCAGAGAAGCUGCUGAAACCCUUCAGGGAACAUUCCAUUCCGCCAGGGCCCGGCUCUCACGCUCUGCUCUGCAGCGCAUCCGGUGCCAAGGAGGGGAGUAGCGAACGUUGACCUUGUCCCUAAGGAGCUUACACGCAGGGAGGUCAGCACAGACACUGGAAUAUCUAGGACUCUGCUAUCGAAAAACACAAUUGCUGGCACAUGGGUUCAGAAGACAGAGAAGGAAAAGAGCUGUAAAGAGUUGGGUGGGCUGAGGUUUGAAAUGGGCUUUAAUUAUGACUGGACACAAUUUGGUGACAAAUGGGUGAAAUUUCAAGCAGAAGAGGUAGCAUGAGCAAAAAGGGGUGUGCAGUCUUUGUGAAGAGAAGGGGGAGGGAGUGGCAAGGGAAUAGGACAGAGAGGAGGAGGAGGGAGAGGAAGCCAGAGAUAAGGAGCCAGGGGGGGAAGAAAAGGGCAGAAACGAAUGUGAAGGAGAUUCUGAAGACAAGCCACUGUGGUGGUCCAGGUGGUUCCAUGGUGCCGCGCCAAGCCAGGGGCUUGGAAUUUAGUCUGGGAGGAUGGUGCUGAGUAUGGAUGAGGAAGGAGAGGAAUGGAGAGGGGAGAAACGGGAAGGUACUUCACACUGAUUAAGCAAGCUCCUCACAGGGCUAUGACUUCUCCCUUCUCAGAAGGAGGUGCCCUGUGGCAUGCCUCUAGGCCCAGAGUUAAAGAGCUGGAGCCAUUAGGAGCAGCAAGGGGCUGCCUCCCCACUUGUCUGGUUACUUCUGGUUACUUCUCCCUCAGGGUAAGUCCUCAUGAGGGAUCAUCUCUGCCCAUGGAGCUGCUUCCGCUGCCCUUAGGCUGGUGUAAGAGGAAGGCUGUGUACCAGAGGUAGAUCUUGCUCCUAGUCCACCAGCAAAACACAUCCAGUUAUUUCUAUGCCUCAGUCUCCCUUCCCCACACUGAUCUCUUUAUUCCCCUACUACCUAGAAAUGGAAGGGAGACAAUGAGGUGGGAAAUAGAGUUUUUCGAAAGGUGUUUUUUGGAUAAGACAAAGGCCUCUCAGAGCAGAGCUGGCCAUUGGAAUGGUUUCCUUUUGUUAUUUAAUACCGGGGCUUUCACACAGGAGUUUAGCCCAGCUUUUAAGUCUUCAGUAUCAAAUAGUAGUUGGUGUCACAUCCCUGCUGAAAUACAGCCAUGAAAAUGUUUCUUAGUGAUAGAUUUAGGUUGUACUCCUUAAGAAAAGCCCAAAUGUCAAGAAUUGCUUCCCACUGGUACACUUUAUUGGGGAGAAGGGCAUCUCAAAUAGAAGGAUGGUUGGUCUGUCUAGAAAUGGUAAGAAUACUACAGGUUAAAGGCAGUGGUGGUCUGGACUAAAUGACCCCUGAAACUCGGAUUUUAUGGUGUUUUCAAUCUCUGGCUGAGUACAGGUUCCUCCCUCUCCCUUUGUGCCUCCUUGGGGACCUGGGCUAUUUUCUCCUCCGUGAAAGAGAAUGGAUACAUCCAUUAUGAAAACCAAUUGAUAUAAUUUGAGCCUGCAUGCAGGUAAAAACUAUAUUAAGAAGGUUUAUAAAAUCUAACCUUCUGGCUUAACAAGCUGAUUCUCAAAGUGGCCUCUCAGACCCUGGCUGAGGGAUGGUGGUCAGGGGUUGCAGAGGGACCCGCACAGCUGCUGAGGAGGCUGUGGGACAGGAGGCGCUAUCACUGUCUACCUCUUCCAUCCAUGCACCUGUGUGCAGGUGUGAGAAGGGCACCGUGCUGCAAAGAAGGGUCCUUUCCACCCUCUGCGGGUUGCUGCCGGCUCCCCGAUGCCUGCCUCUGAGGCCUGAGCCUGGGGCUGGGGAGUGUGCUGGCCUCACCUCUGGAGGAUACUGCCUCAGUGUUACAGCCUGACCCCCCACCUUGUCAUCACUGCCUACUACAGACCAGAGGGGACGGCCACAGAGACUCUGCAACCAUGGGCUCUGCCCUUCUUCCUUCUGCCUGUGUAUCUGUGAAAAACUUUUUUUUUUUUAAAUGGAGAAAGCUACCUUGACUUCUCAGAGAGUUGAAUGGGGUCAGGGGAUAGAAUCUAUAUUUUUUAGUUAUGGGCACUUACCCAUAUUCAAAAAGAUUUGAGGAGGCUGGCAGAAUGGAGCUGGGAGAAGAAAACCCUCCCCUGGGAGGAAGCUGUCCUGUGCAUGUUGGCCAGGCUGCCUCUUUGAUUAGGGACAAUGGAAACCGGCCUGAGGGCACGGGUGAAAGCAGUUGAGUGUAGAGGAGGCUCUGCAGCAGAAGCCAGAGGACACAGGAGCCAGUGAAGACACACAAUAAGUCAGAAAGGAGGGAUCUUUGCAGCCCCAAAAGUAGAAAUUCUUACCAUCUACUGCAAAGAGCAAAAGUUGAAAAUUGGUCUGAUUUCUAUCUAAAUGUGCUUACAUAUUCGUGUUCUGUUAAAUACUUCUGUAACCUGUGUGUCUCACAUAAAUGCAGCUUUCUUUAGUUUUGGAAAUAAAUCACAUGAAUCCUGAAUAGUAGUCUUUAAUAAUUUGCUUAGUUGUAGGGCAGUGUUGUGUUUUCAGAAGGCAAGUGUAUUUGCUAGAAGAGUGAGCUGGGAGGUGUGAACCACAUCGUCACAUCUGCUGUAAGCCUAGCCGUUCAUAAUACGGAGUUACAGUUAGGACACGUCGCCCUGAAGAGCUACCAUCGAAUGUGUGCUCAUCAAAUGCCUGGCAGCGUCCUCGGUGCUUCACCUGCCAUAGCCGACAGUGGCUGACCUCCCAUGCCUGUUGCCUUUUCUUUCUGUUGGAUCAGGGAUACACUGCCAUGUGUGUUAAGAAAAGCUGGCCUUACCUACAGGGCUGGCCAGUCCCGGUCACGUUUCUAGUAAGCCAUUGCCUUACAUAAGGGUAACGGCAUGGGACGCUAUCUUAGCCAAUGUGAUAAAAGUGGACAUGAGGUGAGAGGCUUCAGAGAGAGGUUUUAAAAAAGAGACAAAAGCAGGACGUUGCCUCUCUUCCUCCUCUCCACGUGUCCUACCCGGAUGUGAAGCCAAAACAGAUGCAGGCUUAGUGCAACCAUGGGGAACCCAGCAUAAGCACAGAUUCAACAGCAGAAGAGUGGCAGAGGGAGAAGGUGAAAGGAACCUAGGUUUUCCUGUCCUUGUUGAGUCAUUCAGUUAAAAAUCCCUGGAAUUUUCCUCUCUCCGGCAGUGUGUUUUGUGGGAUAAUGAGUUGCCUUAUUGGGGUUGGCUUGCUAGUCGGGAUGUUUCGCUCCCAUCAACAUCCAUACGCUUGCUCUGUGAACCAAUGACCUGAUGAGGUAGUAUUAGCACCACCAUCAUUAUGCUGAGGAUGAGAUUUAUGGCACAGUGGUUCAGUAGCUUGCCCAAGGCCAUGCGGCUGGUAGGUUCUGGAGGAGGGCUCAGGGCACCCCCUGAGCUACCCCUGCUGGCCAUUGCACCACCCCAUAAAGCUGCUGGCAGUCACUUCUCUGAGGGGUUAGCAUGUAAGAAAUGUCCUCCUGAAUGCUGGCCAGACAAAUGGAAAUCUGCCAGGGUUGGGUACCCCCAUGACAGCAGCCAGCCUGCCCUCUUAGUCCCUGACAGCUGCAGUGACAGCAUCUGUGAUUGCAAAGCGUGACAAUUUAUAUCUCUCAUUUCAUCACACCAUCUAUCAGCAGACAGUCAGGCUUUAAAAAUCAAUCCCACACUGACUCAGUCCCCAGCAGAGAUGGCCUCUGACAACAGUAUCCACACUGCAGGCUGGACAAGGGCCCUAUUAAUUUUGAGACUCAGCCAAAUUUCCUUCUGACCCUAAGCUGGUGAAUCCCUGCUCCUUUGCUUUGGUUGGGGUUGGUGUGAGCUAAGGCUGUGAUCCCAUUUGCUCCUAUGGCCUCCAGGUGGCCUGGGCCUCCAUGAAUGGGCCACAUGGUCAUACUGAAUGCUUGAUUACACUCAGACCUAGCAGUCGUCUGGGCGCAGCUGGUUUAUGGAUCACUUUGUCACAAUGUUCCAUCCUUCCAGGUCCCCAUCCCCGCGGUGGGAAAACAUUGCUUUAGGCAGUGCUAGAGGACUUCAGCAGGCAUUGGCAGCUUCUGGAUUCAGGAUUAGAACAAAGAAGGAGGAGUCACAGCAAAGAUAGGAACAGAAGGCAGAGAGAACAGACAGAUGGGGGUGUUUGAGAAGGAGGGCCUUUGAGACCUCAGGGAGUGGGAGACACUGGCUCGAGAAUAAUAAUAAUGGCAAUUUCUCUCAUCUGUGUUUUCAGGGCAUGGACUGGAACUCCCAAUACCCCUGACAUGGGCUGAGUCAACGUGGUCAUGAACAUGUGACAGGAGGCAGCAGAAGUUGCAGAGAAGAGUGAGGCACGUUUGAAAAAGGCUGAAAAAUGUUUCUGUCCAGGCAAGGGUGUGUGCUGAAUGACUCAAGGAUUUUUUGGUGCAUUGAAUGAACAGCGGGACAUUGGACACCUGCUGAUCCAUCACCCCGGGCCCGGGCAGGCCCGUGGAUGAAGAGAGAUGGAGAAGACCAGGCAUGAGACUGUGGAGAAGCCACACCACCAGAAACCCCUGCCCCAUGCGCCGUCCAGCCCACACCUGUGGAUGCACGGGGGAUUGCAGGCAGGGCUCCCACCGUGGACUCAGGAACAGGCAGGGAAGCUGCUGCCUCACCAGGCGAAGGGGCCAGGAGGGGGAGGCGGAGAGGCCCGUCUAGCCCCUGCGGCUGUCACCGUGGUGCCUCCUCACUGGCCAGUGCGGUCGCGCCUCAGCUUCGUUAAUAGGGGAGGGGGCCUAAGAGUUUUCACGUCCAGGCUCGGGCAGUGGGGAGGCAGGCAGGAGUGGCCGCUGGUUUUUCAGACCUCCCAGGGAGGCCGAGGAAAUGGCCCGUCCUGGAGUGGGCGUGGUUCUGUCUUCAGAUGGAUGCUGGAGGGUUGGGCUGCGUGGGACCCUGGGCCCUGCUGCUUCCCGGAGGAUGCGCUGUCCGGGGCUGCACAGGUUGGCUGUGUUUUUUGGAUGCUUGAUAUUUUGUUUUUUCUUCUCUUCACUCUGUCAUGAAACUGGCAAUAGUAGUUUGUAAAUAAAUAUGUGUUAUAGAUGAAUAUUUGCUAUGAGUAAAUUAAUAAAGGAGUGAAUAAAUGAGCGAUUGAUGUAGGGCCUGUCCUGUCUCAGGGAGCCCCACGAAGGCCUGCGCGCCGGCCAGAGCCUGCCUGCCUGCCAGGGUACUGGGACGUCACUCUCAAAGCGGCGGGACCCAGCCGCUGAUCUUGCUGAGGAGGCCCGGUCUCAGAAAACUGAGCGGCUGCUUCUGCAGACCCUGCAUCCUCCCCUCCCUGGAGAAAGAAGCUCUGGCUGAGUCCUGGGACCGAACCCUUGGGUGCCACAGAAACGGGCUUUGCUGCCUGUCAGUCAAGCGGCGGGAGAAACAGACCUGGGGAGGAGGAGGCUGGGAGGGCUGUGUUUUCUGCACAGCGAGUAGCUCCUUAGCCUGGUGCCAUUUCUCUCCAAACACCCUGAAGGUUGAGUCCAGGGUGAAGAUGUAGAGGCAAGUUUUGGGGGGAUGGAGUGGGCUUGGAGGGAUGCUGGCGCCUUAGCAGGCUGUGCUCCUGAGGUGCCCAGUGUCUGCGGGCACAGGAACAUGUUGCCGAGGGCAUUUGGGUGUGGGUGGGGUGGGGAAAGGGAGACAGGGCUGUCUCUUUUAAUGGGUAUCUGCGAGCAUGUGAUUGUAAGAGAGGAAGAAGUAGGGGAGGAAGAAGGCCUCCUUGGGAGGUGCGUCAUCCUGAGGAAGGCUGAACAAUGAGGGUCUUGGAGAGUCAAUUCAGAAGCACAACCUUGCAGAGCAGGCAAAAACAAUAGGGCUUCUUGAGGCUGCCCGGGCACUCAUGCAAUCACCAUUUCCUGCUGUGAAUGAGCCUACAUUUUGUUGGGGAAGAGACGCAACGACGCCAAACGAUGGACUCUGAGUCAACGAUAAGAUGAAACAAAAUUAAAACAAAGUAGGAAAUCAAGAGUGGCUGCUGUGAUGGCGUUGCGGAGAUGAUGUUUGCUUUGAGAACUGGACAAGUGAGCCCCUGAGCUGCAUCUGCACCCAGAGGCUGAGCCGGUGCACAGGACUUGCAGAGGGAUGGGCCUGGGCUUGUAGAGCAGCACAACGGCCCCAGGCCUGGAGGAGCAAGGGUGGGAAGGGGGGCAGGCCAGCUCCUGCCAGGCUGGAGAAGGACUCGGACCUCAGGCCACCUGUGCCUGGGUGAUUGUGAACUUGUAACAAAUGUGAUCUUAUUUAUGUUUUGAAAAAGGCAACACAAACCAACACGAGCCGUGUGAGGAUCAGGUGACAGCUGCCCAAAAGCUGACACAAGGAACAAGCCUGGAGGAGUGAGGAUGGGUGCUGUGAAGGAGGUUGUGCAGCUGGGCCCGCAGUCGGACCUGGUGAGAUCAGAGGAGGGGGUGCCACCAGUCUGUGGACGAAGAUGAGAAGCUGGAAUAGAGCAGAAAACAGGAGGCUGCCACUCUCCAUCUUUCCCAAAGUCACUCCAGGAGCAAGGGUGUCAUUUACUGAAAUGACAGACUCUCCAUUUCACAUUUUUCCCCCAAGUGCAGAGUGCAGGGAAGCAGAUGGGCUAAAUUUUUAGAGUCAGGGUUAUUAAUGUAUACUUUACAUAGUAAACUUUCCCCUUUUAAGUGUGCAGGCCUGAGGUUUGCCAAAUAUGUGUAGGCAUUUAAUCACCACCACGAUCAAGAUGUAGAAUAUUCCCACUAUCAAAAAGUUUGCUGUGUCCCUUGAUGGUCAUGCCCCAUUCCACAGCCCCAGCCCCAGCCCCUGGAGAUUGCUGUCUGCUUUAUGUUCCAGUGGUUUUAUCUUUUCCAGACUGUAUGGAUGUGAAUGGAAUCAGAUGUGAUUCCAAGGUGUUUUAUCUUUUCCAGAUGUGAAUGGAAUCAGAUGUACGAAAUCCUAUGGUAGGGGGUCUUCUGAGUCUAGCUCCUUUUGUUUAGCGUGAUGCAUUUGAAAUUAAUCCAUGUCUCAGGCAUCAGGAGUUCAUUUCUUUUUCUGCUGAGUAGUAUUUCAUUGUAUGGAUGUACUGCAAUUUGCCUAUCCAUUCACCUGUUGAUGUACAUUUGAGAUUUUUGGCAAUUAUGAAUAAAGCUGCUAUAAACAGACAUGGAUUUUAUGUAGACACGUCUUCAUUUCUGUUGAGUAAAUAACAAGGCAUGAGAUUUCUGGGCCAUAGGGUAAAUGUGUGUUUCACUUUAUAAGAAACUGACAAGCUGUUUCCAAAGCGGUUGCUCCAUUUUGCAUUGUGUGAGCGUUUUAGCUGUUCUGCGUCCUUUCCAGCACCUGGUGUGCCCAUUUAAAAGACUUCAGCCACUCUCAAUAGGUGUGUAGGACUGGACUUAAAUUUAAAUUUGAGAGGCAUCAGUAUGUGUGUGUGUGCCUUUCACACCUCCACAGUCACCGGCCACAUGCACUCGUAAGGAGUGAACACACACAGCAGCUGGGAAAGGUCUGAGCAAAGGGCCAUGGGCAGGGCACCCAGCUAGACAGAAGGAAAUCAAGGACCGUGCUCUAUGGUCCAACCAAGAAAGGAUUUUAAAAAGAGAGAGUGAGCUAGUGGCCAAUUGUUGCUGAAUGCCUGCAUAUGAUAAAGAGUGAAAAUUGAGCACUGGAUUUAGAAAGAUGGUGGUUUUUGUUGACCUUGACAAGAGCAGUUCCAGGGUUGCAGCAGUGAUGAGACCUGCAUGAGAGGGAGUUCAGGAGGGCAGGGACUUGGGCGAUGGGACUGGCUCCUCAUCCAAGAUAGGGCAGUGGAGUCUGCAGGCUGUGUCUCCAAUUUUCUCCUUUCUCCUUAGUAAUAGAAAUCUAAAUUUAUUUAG
rnacentral:lncRNA from 1 species